UCAGGACGAACGCUGGCGGCGUGCCUAAUACAUGCAAGUCGAGCGGACAGAAGGGAGCUUGCUCCCGGAUGUUAGCGGCGGACGGGUGAGUAACACGUGGGUAACCUGCCUGUAAGACUGGGAUAACUCCGGGAAACCGGAGCUAAUACCGGAUAGUUCCUUGAACCGCAUGGUUCAAGGAUGAAAGACGGUUUCGGCUGUCACUUACAGAUGGACCCGCGGCGCAUUAGCUAGUUGGUGAGGUAACGGCUCACCAAGGCGACGAUGCGUAGCCGACCUGAGAGGGUGAUCGGCCACACUGGGACUGAGACACGGCCCAGACUCCUACGGGAGGCAGCAGUAGGGAAUCUUCCGCAAUGGACGAAAGUCUGACGGAGCAACGCCGCGUGAGUGAUGAAGGUUUUCGGAUCGUAAAGCUCUGUUGUUAGGGAAGAACAAGUGCAAGAGUAACUGCUUGCACCUUGACGGUACCUAACCAGAAAGCCACGGCUAACUACGUGCCAGCAGCCGCGGUAAUACGUAGGUGGCAAGCGUUGUCCGGAAUUAUUGGGCGUAAAGGGCUCGCAGGCGGUUUCUUAAGUCUGAUGUGAAAGCCCCCGGCUCAACCGGGGAGGGUCAUUGGAAACUGGGAAACUUGAGUGCAGAAGAGGAGAGUGGAAUUCCACGUGUAGCGGUGAAAUGCGUAGAGAUGUGGAGGAACACCAGUGGCGAAGGCGACUCUCUGGUCUGUAACUGACGCUGAGGAGCGAAAGCGUGGGGAGCGAACAGGAUUAGAUACCCUGGUAGUCCACGCCGUAAACGAUGAGUGCUAAGUGUUAGGGGGUUUCCGCCCCUUAGUGCUGCAGCUAACGCAUUAAGCACUCCGCCUGGGGAGUACGGUCGCAAGACUGAAACUCAAAGGAAUUGACGGGGGCCCGCACAAGCGGUGGAGCAUGUGGUUUAAUUCGAAGCAACGCGAAGAACCUUACCAGGUCUUGACAUCCUCUGACAACCCUAGAGAUAGGGCUUUCCCUUCGGGGACAGAGUGACAGGUGGUGCAUGGUUGUCGUCAGCUCGUGUCGUGAGAUGUUGGGUUAAGUCCCGCAACGAGCGCAACCCUUGAUCUUAGUUGCCAGCAUUCAGUUGGGCACUCUAAGGUGACUGCCGGUGACAAACCGGAGGAAGGUGGGGAUGACGUCAAAUCAUCAUGCCCCUUAUGACCUGGGCUACACACGUGCUACAAUGGACAGAACAAAGGGCUGCGAGACCGCAAGGUUUAGCCAAUCCCACAAAUCUGUUCUCAGUUCGGAUCGCAGUCUGCAACUCGACUGCGUGAAGCUGGAAUCGCUAGUAAUCGCGGAUCAGC
rnacentral:rRNA from 1 species